GGGCUGGAUAGGCUUUAAGUCCCUUUCCAAUCCAAACCAUUCUGGGAUUCCAUGAUUCCAUGAUUCUAUAUUUAUUUUGGAAUGUGAUAUUUCCUUGGCACCUUUUGGUGCCUUACUGAAUCUCUCCACUCAUGAUUUGCUUUUAUUUGAGCUUGGGGGUGGCACAGGUGACACUGCAGCACCACCAGGCAGGAUUGUUCUGUUUGGGCCUGUCUAGAGCCCGUGGGGAUUUCUGCAGUAACUAAAAGGGGUUUUCAAAAGCCUGGGAUAGAAAAUGCUCCCAAAGUAAGCUUAUCCAUCCCUUGCUUGUGUCCUUCCUGCAGCAUUCCAGCUGCGAGCCUGGCCACUCCUUGCUUGGUGCUCAAUCCAUGACCUUGUGUCAGUGCCCAGCCAUGCUUGGUGUUGCUCCACAACGUGGCUCAGAUGGAUUCCUGCAUCAGCAGGAGGGGAGAGUGUUGGGAAUGCCCCAGGUGUGUCCUGGGUGUGCUGCAGGGCACAGCUGUGCAGGUACCUGCACCAGGGGUACAACCAACAUUCCUCAUUCCCAAACAGAUCACAGGGAGCUUCCCUCGGCCUGGCUCCGCCUGGACUGUGCUGCUGUGCAGUCAUUCCCGCGCCUCUUCCCAGCAUUCCUGGCUCCAUGGCACCUCAGCUCCCUCUCUUUAAUCCUCUUCCAGUUGCUUUGUUCCUCCCCAAGCCUGCUACAAGGGCUGUUACUGAUAUCUCUUCCCACCUCUCCCGGGUUUUCCCCUCCAGGAGUCAUGUCUGGUGAGUAAUGCCCAUCCUCUCUUUCCCCAGGAGCUCCAUUUCCACACCACUCGAGGAUCCUGCAGCUCCAUGACUCAUCUUUUUCCAGAUCCUCUGCAUCCAAGCAGCAGCAUGCUGGGGGUGAUAGUAAAUCUCGGAGUGAAAGCAGGAUUUUAUGGAUGUGCUGAUUCAUCUUUCCUCAGAGCAGAGCUGUGUUAUGUAAAUGCCAGCAGCAGCUGGUGGCAGGAGGAGGGAGAACAGACUAAUGAGCCACGGAAGGAUUCGGGAGCAGAGACGCUUUAAGGAAGAAGCUGGAUUGUAGCUGUUUCCAUACCACUCUUUAAAUAAAUAAAAACUAAAAAUUUUGAGGGAUUUUAGGAGUAGGAACUGAUGACAUUCAAUACCCAUCACUUCUCCCCAUUUGGUGUUGUAGGGAGUUUUACUCUCAGUUGUAGUUAAAAGUAAUACUCAAAAUUUGACUACAAAAUUAAGUGAUCUUCCCCACAAUCAGCUUGUAAUACCAGGUAAAGGUGUCUCUCUCAUAUUUUAUGUAUGAUUAUUCUGUCCUCACGAGUCAAAUCCUGCUUUAGCUGUGUGUGGAAACAGAACUGUGGUUUAGCAUAACCAGAAAUGUACAGUUAAAAAUAAAAAAAAGCAGUUUAAGAGUGGAAUUGUGUAUGUGUGGUAGGUUUACCUGCAUUGUACCUUUCCAGCAAAUGUAAAUGUGGAUGCACAUGCCUGAAUCCAGCUGCUCUGAACACUAGAACAAAUUAAGCUUUUUUGUCUUUUUUUUUUAAAAAAAUAUUUUUUCUGUGUACAUUUCAUAGAAUACCCUAAGUUGGAAGCAACCCACAAGGAUUUCUAUGAACAUCCUGCUCAUCUUGGGCCUUUCAUAUGGAGCUAAAUGUCAAACAAGGAUAGUAGUUAAAUCCAAGUUUUUGUUUAGCUGAUUCAAAAAUAAGAGCUGUUCAGAAGGAAUUUAGGAGUUGGUGCCUUGUGCUACAUACUUGUGAGUAAAGGAAUACCGAAAAAUCCAAGCUUAUUUUAAGAUCUUUACAUACAGAAACCUCAAAUUUUGAUAUCAUUGUUUAUUUUAAAAAAUAAAUGAGGUGCAAAAUAAUUAACACUAAUUACAGUUGCUGGAGUGCAGGGCAAACCAACAUCCUGUUUUUACAGGACAAAUCUCCAAGUUCCCACUCCUUCCUGUGGUUCUCUCCCUGGACAAGAGCUGUUAAAUAAUAACUAAAUAGCUGUUAGAUAUUACACAAGAUCUGCUCUAGGAUUUUGGCUGUUUUUAAUAAUUUAAUUCCUCUGCUGCAUCAUUCCAGUCAUUCCUCUAGAUGGUGCCAGAGAUCCAAGAGUUGGUGCGGCAUUAUCCCGUAGGAAGGCGAUGGAGGAACGGCCAGGACGCCGCUCGCCUUUGUUUCUAAAUUCUGUCUUGCAGUAGUUCAUCUCGUUGACAAACUACUUGUUCCGGUGAUGUAAAUAUGAUGAGUUUUUUUUUCCUUUUGAGAAUCCUAAAAUCCAUUCAGCCUAAAUUCCACCUGCCUGAAGCAGUGUCAUCCCUUGCUCCGUGGACUGAUCCAUAUCUCAUAUUCCUUAUGGCAGCCAUUAGCUGCUGUGAGCUGUGAUCAGUGUGUGCAGCCCUGCUGCGACUGGGGGAACUUAAUCUGCCUGGUUUGCAAAGCAGUGAAAUUUCUGACUAUUAUCUAAACAUUUCUCCUUAUCUCUGUUUCACACAGAAAUGCCAAAUCCAGCUGUGGAUGAAACACACAGGAAAAGGGGUGGCUCUGUGUCCCUGUGUGCUCUGGGCUCUGCCAGCAGAAGGACCAGGGGAAUGUUGUCAAUGUCAGAUCCAUCCUCAGCAUUCCUGAAUUCCAACUUUAUACCUCAAAAUGCCUGGAACACCCCAAGUUUUAUAGCAGCAAAAUUACUCCUGGGUGUAAGUGACCAGGUUUAUAGGGCCAAACCCUGCAUUUUUGGCUUCUCCUGGAAGCCUGGGCACAAAGCACCUGACUGCAACUGGGAAUUCAUCACCUCUCUCCCUGGACAUGCAAAUUUUACUGGAACUCCCUCAGCUAACUUCCUGAAUUCUUGCCCUGUUACCAGAUACUGAUGCAGAUAUAAGAAAUAUUUUAAUUUCUCUCAGCAAUGAAAUGAAACAGAACAUGAUCAGACCUCCAGAAGAAGGAAAAAUGUGUUUGCUGGAGGGCAGGAAAACCCUGGAGCUGCUGAUAACUACAAGUCAUUCUGAUGGAUGUGAGAUCCAGACUAUCAAUAUCCUCACCUCACAGCAGUGAUUUGGGACUAAUUAUUGCUAAUAUUUUUCAUGGAUGUAGUCCAUCCCUUUCCAACAAUUCCAAACUCCAUUUCCAUAUUUGUUCCUUCCAGACAGGUUUCCCCUUGUUUCUCCAUUAAAUAACAGCAACAGGUGGAAACAGAGAUUUCUCUGGAAAUUCCAAACUCUCCCUGCCUCUUUUCAUCCCAUGAGCAUCCCAGCCAGGUUGGAACUGUGAUGAUUCAGCCACAGUGCUGCUGGAAACCAGGAAAAGUGGAUUAAAAGGAGUGAGGUUAUGUAGCAUGAAAAAAUACUCCAAAACAACUGUGGAGGAGGGAAGAAGAGGUUCUGCUCUGGCCCCGGCUGUGCUGUUUCCCUCCCAAUUCUCCUGUGCUGUUCCAGCACAUUGCUGAUGGUGGAGACCAGGAUGAAGUCUGGAGGUGCCUCCUCUGAUUCCCCUGUCCCUCCCAGGACAGUGACCAGUGUUUUCAAAGUGGUUUUCAGUGAGUUUAUUGUUCUGAGCAAACAAAAGCAAAUGCUUUCCCAGCUCUGUUGAAGAUCCUGUGAGGACAGUGUGUGGGGAUUGUGCUGCUCUGGGAGCCUGCACCAAAAGCUGGAUCUUGGAAUUAUAGGAACAUUUAGGUUGGAAAAGCCCUCCAAGUCCAUUGAGUCCAACUGUUCCCACAGCACUGGUAAGGCCACCAUUGGCCAUGUCCCCAGGUGCCACAUCCACAGUUAAAUCUCCCCAGGGAUGUGACUCCAGCCUGUUCCAGGGCUGGGCAACCCUUUUUUUCCUAAUAUCCAACCUAAAACCUCCCCUGGUGCAACCCGAGGCUGUCUCCUCUCAUCCUGACAAGCUGCAUGGACACCUCACCAUGGCAGGGUAUUGCCAACAUCGCUCAAAUCUCUUCCUGUGACAUCAGAACCAUCACUAUCUUCAAAAUCAUGAAUCUGUUCACUGUUGCAUCUUCAAGGUCUCCAAUUAUGAUGGAUAAUGAUAAUCAGAUCCACAGCAACCUGUGGAUCUUUCCCAACCCACCAGUAACACAACGAACAGCCAGCCAAGGACCUCAGGGAAGAUGCUUUCUCCACAAAUUUCAAAUAAACCUGAAAGUAGGUUGACUCUACAAUUUGAAACCUCUCCUUUUCAGACAAAAUAAACCAAGCUUGGGAGCUGUCAUGGAGCUGGUUUUGGAUUCAGUGUCUAGACACCAGGACAGCCAUAGAGGAGGGUUUGGCAUAAACCAGACAAUCCAUUCAAUUGUGCAACUCUCUCAAUACCCCAUGGCUCCGAAAAGUUAUGAAUUUGAGCAAAAUGUUCUUGGGCAAUUUUCUGUACUUAUUUGAAAGAGGAAUUUGAUUAGAACAAUAGUUAUAGAAUUAAGAACAACUCCCACCCUGGCACUCAAAAAAGAAAUAACCAAAACCAAACACUCAGUUAUAUGUUCUGUGUAACAACCUCAGGACUCAAAUGGAGAGACACAACUUGGGAUCAGAGUGACCUCAUUCCAAAGGUUGUUUGUACCUCAGCAGAUGGAUGGAUCCUGUGCUAAGAAAAUAUCAACUGUAUUCAGUGUCUGCUGCUUAAAUCACAAUGCUUGAGACUCAGUGAUUGGAGGCUGGAUAGAUGGUCCCAUGGCACCAGGGCUGGGAGAAGGGGCUUCACCUUCCUGCAGAACUGGAUUCCUGUUCAAAGCCCUUUUAGAGAAGCCACUGGAGUAGGAAAUAACACAAAUCUAAAAUAUUUUGAAUAUGCAUUCUCUCCCUAGAGUAGUAUAGACCCAUUGGCAUUUCUCACCAACUGCUGGCUAAACUUACAGAAUCAUGAAAUCCUGGAAUGAUUUUGGUGGGAACUUAGAGAUCAUCUAAUCCACCUCCUGCCAUGGGCAGGGACACCUUCCAGUAUCCCAGGCUCCAAGUCCUGUCCAUCCUGGCCUUGGACACUUCCAGGGAUGGGACAGCCACAGCUUCUCUGGACACCCUGUACUAGGACCUCCCCACCUCACAAGGAAGGAUUUCUUCCCAAUAUCCCAUCUAACCCUGACCUCUGUUUAAACCAUUUUCCCUUGUUCUGUCACUAUGUGCCUUUAUACAAGGUCCCUCUCCCUCCUUUGUAUAGGCCCCCUUAGGCACUGGAAGGGGCUCCCAAGGUCUCCCAGAGCCUUCCCUUUUCCAGGUUGAACACCCCCAGCUCUCCCAGCCUGUCUUUAUAGGGUGGAAAUUCAGUGAAUCAUUUUUAGGUGUCAGUCAGGAUGACAUUUGAACUACUGUUGGAUCACGUUCCCACUGGGAUGUUCGGUCUCCCUGGGUUUGCCAACAGCACACUUCCACCAGGCACAGGGAAUCCAGUUACUGCCCCUUCAGUUUUCACUGGAAGAGAGACCAGAGCAUGCCCCAGAAUCUCUGCUGGAUUAAGGGAAUACACUGCCAAGGAAAAGGCUCCUCAAAACUCCCUCACCGUCACUGCUGAGGAAGCUGGAGCCCAGUUAACCCUGAGCAUUUGUACAGAACAGGUGGAGCAGCAGGAAUAAAAAUCCCCAGUGCCUCAGGCCUGGAAAAGGAAACCCACAUUUAAACAUCCUCUAGUGGCCCCGAGGGACUGAUCCUGAACCCCAAGAACCCAAGACACUCUCACUGAGGUGCUGUUCAGGGUUUGGACACAAAAUAUUCAGGCUCUUGGAAUUUCCCAUUGCUAGGCUGAGGAACAAUUUAAUGGGAGAGAGGUUUCUGCAUUGCAGACAUUUUUCAUAUUAUUAAAUAUAUCCUGUAGUUGGUCAUGGAUGUGGAGACUUUCUAUAAAAGCAGGUUUUAGCAGGAGUUGAUAAAGUUUGCACAAAAAAGCUGUAACAGAACUGGGACUUAGCCACAGUUCACUGGCCUGGUCCAGUUCUGUCCCAGAAUAAGGCCUGGAUUAAUGGGAAGUCACACAACUGAGGCAGAGAGGGGCUCGAGCCCCAGCCAGAAGCCCAAAGCUCUCCAGCUCCAUGGGCUCUCCCUCUCCCACUGCAGCUCUCCUGGAAUUUGGGAGCUUUCCAGCAGCACAAGCAACAAACCACAAUCAGCUUUUGAGGAGUCUUUUUUAUUAAGAUAAAUCCAGCAAAAUUCCUAACAGUGGGUACAUACAACCAACCUGCCCUUUUUGAAAAGAAAUGUUUGUAUUUCAUUUAAAAACAGGAUUACACUUUUAUUUAUUUAUUUUUCUUUUUUUUUUUCAAAACUGACAAAAUAAAAUUACAUUUGGGAAACAACAGAUUUCCAGCUCUUAGGUUUUUUUUCAUGAAAAUAGCUCACCUUCUUUAUAAAAGCAACCCACAGAACCACUGGAAUGUUUCACACGGUUAUUUGUUUUGAGACCUCCCCACUUUAAGAAACCAUACAACACAUACAAGGGAAAAAUUAAAAUCUGAAGU